CGGGGCGUGGCGCAGCCUGGUAGCGCACUUGCAUGGGGUGCAAGGAGUCGGAGGUUCAAAUCCUCUCGCCCCGA
rnacentral:tRNA from 1 species